AUACGGAGGGUGCAAGCGUUACUCGGAAUCACUGGGCGUAAAGCGCGCGCAGGCGGCUUGAUAAGUUGGAUGUGAAAGCCUACGGCUCAACCGUAGAACUGCAUCAAAACUGUCAAGCUAGAGUCUGGGAGGGGAAGAUGGAAUUAGUUGUGUAGGGGUAAAAUCCGUAGAGAUAACUAGGAAUACCAAAAGCGAAGGCGAUCUUCUGGAACAGUACUGACGCUGAGGCGCGAAAGCGUGGGGAGCAAACAGGAUUAGAAACCCUAGUAGUCC
rnacentral:rRNA from 1 species